UGGCCCACGUGUGGAGUGGGGCUUGGAGCCGCAGGGGCCCUGCCCCGACAUGCAGCGCCCUGGGUCUGGCACAGCCUCCCUCCUUGCACCCUGGGCCUGUGUGUGUCUGUCGGGGGGGCUAGUAAAGUGCUUCCCUUGCAGCCACCACCUGACACCAUCUGCCGGGCAAGGAGGGGCCCCGUGGGCCUGUGUUGGAAUUCCGGAGGUGAGCCCCCCACUGGCUUGAGCUGCUUGGGGACGGGGGCAAGGGGCAGAGCCUCCCACGGUGGGUACGAGUCCUGCGGGCUGUGGCAGGCAAAGCUCACGCCCAUGAUCGGCUGCCCCCAGCCGCAGUGACCUUGACUGUAGAGCGCUGAGCUGAGCUGCCCUAGCCGGCCGCUGGUGCUGUGUAGUGAUGAAAUUAAUGGAGUGGUAAAUAGCCUAAAUCCCCUGUAACUCAGACCCAAACUACACAGGCUGCCCCUCCCUGAGCGGAUUGUGGGGAAGUAUUUACAUGUGAUUAGAACAGCUCAUCUCGGAGUCUUAGUUCUGUCCGUUCGCAUUACGCUGAUUAUCCACAGAGGGGACUCGAGUGUGAGCCCUACCCCGGCCUCCAGCCCUGCCCCGGCCUCCAGCCCUGCCUGCUCCUGCAGCUGAACCGCACAAGGCGGCCACCUCCCCGCGUGUGCAAAGAUGAGCUGCUGCCGCAUAAGAGUUGGGGCAAGUGGGGAGCUGUAUCUCCCACCCCAGGAACGGUGCUGGUUCAGUGUGAGCCCAGGUGUUCCAGGGCCAAGGGGCAGAGAGCAGGGCCCCUGCUCUCCUCUGGCUGCCCCUGGGUGACGUAUUCUGGCUGAGCAGGGUGUGGGCUUGCAGCCGUCCCAGUUACUCCUCCCUAGCUUGGCCAAGCCUCGUGUGGCGCUGCGAGGGGGAGCUAAGCCAGGACACGCGUUUGGGUUUGAAGAUGUUUGUGAGGCAGUUGUGCUCCUCAGCCCAACCGGCCUGGAGAUGACAGCAUGGCUGUGCUCUCGCCUCCUCAUCUCACACCAGCUCCAGGCUCUGGACUGGCUAUUUCCUCACUGCCCACCUCAGCUGUGCAGUCUGGACAAUGGCCCUAAGGCCCUGCAGUGAGAGGGGCUGGGCUCGCUCCAGUGCUUUGAAGAGGGACAGGCUGUGAUGUGCUGGGAUACCCGACAGGAGUGCUGCUGGGUCAUAGGAUAGACCCCAUAGGCUCCCAGGCUGCAGGAGGUCUCAGACCCCACCACCCCCUUCCUGCUCCAGCCAGGAGCACCCUCCUCCCUGCCUGUGGAGCUCCGCAGCACCUCUGACCCAUCUGGCUUUAGUCGGCAGAGAAAACCCCACUCUCUGGGCUGGGAUCCUGCUCCUUGCGUCAAGCCAAGGAAGGGGUGCACCCUCCCCAGCAAGGAGCCCACUCAGCUGCCCCCGCCCUUCCCUGGGGCUGGGCAAGAGACUUUGUUCCAGCACAUACCAGGCCAUGAGCUCACCCCACUGUCCUCAUGCCAGCCCGGCAGUGCCUGGCCUACAGCCGGGACCAAAGGCACCAGCAGGGCCCUGGCCUGCCCUUCCAGGAGCGAGCGGCCUGCGGCAGGGACCUCGGCCAGGCUUCCCCUCGCCCUGCCGGCCGGAGGAGUUUUCCCUUGGCCUUGGGGGGGCCGGUGCCUGAGCCCCUGCCCGGCCGGCCCCCGCCCUGGACGGACCAGCCCCGUGCCUGGCUCCUGCCGCCAGAGGCUCCCAGCCCCCCCUCGCAGCCUGCCCUGCAGCCCCCCCACCCGCAGGCCACCCCCUCCCAACCGCCCCUAGGCUGCGCCUGCCCGGUUCUCGCGCUCUGGGCGCAGCCUGUCCCGCGCGUAGCGCUCCGGGAGCGUCCCGGGGCUGCCCCCAGCUCGGCCGGUCGCUGGGGGCUCUGGGAGCCGGGCCGGGACGAACCCGGCGGCUGUACUCGAGCGGAGCUCGGGGCUCGAUACCCGGGACGGGCCGCUCCCCUCCGGGGCGCAGCGUCCUGGGCUGGCCCGUGCGCUCCGGGCCCCGCCCGCCGCAGUGCCCGGCCCAGCGCGGAGCGCAGCUGCUGGAGCAGCGCCGGCCGCCGGCCCCGCUCGGGGACCCCGCUCCCAGCUCAGCCCCACGAGGCCUUCAUGGAGCUUGGGAAGAAGCUAGCCCUGGUCCGGCAGGGGCAGGGCGAGAAGUACGUGGGGCUGAAGCGACGCUCCCAGGGAGCAGCGCCUGGCCCGCCGGCCGGCAUGGCCCUGUGGGAGGCCCCGCAGGCAGGGCCAGAGGAAGAGGCUGCAUUGCCCCACAUCCUGGUCACUGACUUCAGUGCUUCGAGCACUGCAGCCUGGGGCAGCCUCGAGGGGGUCCCUGCUACAGCCCCCGACCCACAGCCAGAGUCCGAGCCCCCAAGAGCGGCAGAGGAGGAUGCAGAGAGCGUCUCCAAGCCCCGUGCACCUCCCUCCCUCCCUCUCCCUCUGCUCUCCCGGCAGCCGGAGUCGGAGCAGGACGCCUCCGAAGAUGGAGGGAGCAGCCUGGGCUCCAGCUCUGUGGCGCUGGACCCUGUGGAGAAGGAAUGGCUGCAGGGGGCGGCCAGCGGGCACCUGCUCACCCUGAGUCACCUGCUCAAACAGGAGCCGUCCCUGGCCACCAGGAAGGACUUCACCUCGUUUACAGCGCUGCACUGGGCGGCCAAGCACGGCAAGGAGGACUUGGUCUCGCUGCUGGUGGCUGCAGGAGCCGAUGUGAACACGCGCUCGCAGGGCGUGAGUAUGCAGGUGCCCAGGGACGGACAGAUGGACGGACCUCGCAGCAGGCUCCUCAGGACAGAUUAGGCAGUGGGCACUGGUGCCCGGGGGCGGGGCUACACCCCACUACACAUUGCUGCUCUGCACGGACACCGCCAGGUCAUGGACCUGCUCGUCCGCAGCUACGGUGCCAAGCAGAACGUGCGGGAUCACAGUGGGCACCUGGCCAGACACUACCUGGGAGCAGAGAAGCC